AAAAAAACAAACCCUGGAUUUUCGUACCAACAUUUGACUGUCCGUCUUAUAUGAAAGUUUUUUAUAAUUAGUAUUUUUAUUGUUGUUAGAUGAUAAAACAUGAUUAAUACUUUAUGCGUGACUUACCUUUUUAUUUUUUUUUAUAUUUUUUUCAAAUAAGACGAACGGUCAAACGUGGUACACGGAAACCAGGGUUUGUCUUUUU
rfam:Oryza sativa Japonica Group DNA, chromosome 6, cultivar: Nipponbare, complete sequence.